AACAUCUUUGUUUAUAUGUGGUGCUGAGAAUCGAACCCGGGCUGCACGCACGCCAGUUAUGAGUAUGCGGUACCAGACCACCACCAGCACUGCAGGUAUAAACUCAAGACUUUCUGAUAAAGAAUGAACUGAUCUUU